CCAUCAAACCAGCAGACAAGGGAGGAGCAGUAGUGACAAUGAACAUACAGGACUACUUAAAAGAGGGGGACAGGCAAUUAUCAGAUGACAAGUACAAUAGAAAACUAAAUGAAGACCCCACCAAGAAAUAUACAUUACAACUUAGGGAGCUCAUUAAAUCAUUCCCUGAGAAUUUGAAUCUAGAACUGCAAUCACUUAUACCAACUAGUCCCUACAUGGGCACUUUAUAUAUUCUAUUUCUUCCCAAAAUCCACAAAGCAGGUUAUCCUGGAAAAACCCAUAAUUACAGGAAUGGGAACGCUCACCGAACAGAUCUCAGGAC